rnacentral:tRNA from 1 species
CCCCUCGUGGCUCAAUGGUUAGAGCGCCGGUUUGUGACGCCGGAGGUCCUGGUUCAAGUCCAGGCGGGAGGAC